rnacentral:rRNA from 1 species
AGCGAACGCUGGCGGCAGGCCUAAUACAUGCAAGUCGAGCGGGUGUAGCAAUACACCAGCGGCAGACGGGAGAGUAACACGUGGGAACGUGCCCUUCAGUUCGGAACAACCCAGGGAAACUUGGGCUAAUACCGGAUACGUCCGUAAGGAGAAAGAUUUAUCGCUGAAGGAUCGGCCCGCGUCUGAUUAGCUUGUUGGUGAGGUAAUGGCUCACCAAGGCGACGAUCAGUAGCUGGUCUGAGAGGAUGAUCAGCCUCACUGGGACUGAGACACGGCCCAGACUCCUACGGGAGGCUGCAGUAGGGAAUAUUGGACAAUGGGUGCAAGCCUGAUCCAGCCAUGCCGCGUGGGUGAUGAAGGCCCUAGGGUUGAAAAGCCCUUUCGGCGGGGAAGAUAAUGACGGUACCCGCAGAAGAAGCCCCGGCUAACUUCGUGCCAGCAGCCGCCGUAAGAC